CUCGACACCUCGAUCGCUUUAAAAUUAUGUUUCAGCCCUGUAAAUUUACGUCGAUGGGAGGGGUUCGCUGGUCGUUCAAGAAGCCCACCCCGUCGUUAGUUGGGGUCAUGUACUUGUAUCUUUUCUAACCAGCUAUGAGCGGUUAAUUUUCGAGCAUGAAUAGCAAGCGGCGGCUGGGUCGACGCCGUUUCUCUCCCCUGUCCGUCCUCCGAUUGCGGAGGCGGCAACAGUGACGACAACUGUGCCGGAGGGACGACCUGGAGGCGAGGGCUACUCCCCACCCUGGCGUGUGGAGUACUCCCCCGUUCCCUCUCUCAUGCGACCAGGAGUCGAAGUGGCGACAGUGCAAAGAUCCGAUCGACGCGAGUUCGGCGGCGACAGCGGCCUUCUCCGGCAUCCCUCCCCACCGCUGUUCGUCUUCUCGCCGGAGCGGAGCAAAGGAAGCACGGGUUGCCCAACAAGCUGCUCCUCCGGUUGCCGCCGCACAAUGAGAAGGCAGUGGACGGGAAGAGUGGAGCUCCUCGUUGAUCUCAAGCGCAAAUUUUGGGAUUCAGCCCCAACAAGAACCCUCAUUCUAUCCGACAACAAAAAGCCCUUAUUUUGUACGCGGUUCAUCCUCACUUAUUAAUAGAGAACGUACUAUUGCUUGCUUCGUCAGUUAUCAAUAGCGAGCUAAAUUUGUUUUUUCAGGCUAAAAGAAGCAGAUUGGUCGUAGUCGGUUGCUUAUAUGUAGAAAGGUGUCUUUUUGUUUUUUUAUCAAGGAAUUGAUGGCAAAGGAUAUUUGCGUUGAUGUUUUGGUAGUCGCUUGUGUAGACCAUGUUUGUUUCAGUGGGCAGUGCAACAUAGAAACACGACCUCUGCAGACUCAAGUCGCUGCACUAUGUUGCCCUGAUGUGUUCUUUCUUAUUUUUGUAUUCUUCCCAAGAUUUGGUGUUUCCUCUUUUCUGAAUAAGAACACUAGAUUAUGGAUAUUUUUAGAGAAUAAGAAAUGCAAUCGUUGUAUCAUGCAUGAUAAUAGAUUUACUUUGAUUGUAGGUUAA